AUUGAACGCUGGCGGCAGGCCUAACACAUGCGAGUCGAGCGGAUGAAGGGAGCUUGCUCCUGGAUUCAGCGGCGGACGGGUGAGUAAUGCCUAGGAAUCUGCCUGGUAGUGGGGGAUAACGUCCGGAAACGGGCGCUAAUACCGCAUACGUCCUGAGGGAGAAAGUGGGGGAUCUUCGGACCUCACGCUAUCAGAUGAGCCUAGGUCGGAUUAGCUAGUUGGUGGGGUAAAGGCCUACCAAGGCGACGAUCCGUAACUGGUCUGAGAGGAUGAUCAGUCACACUAGAACUGAGACACGGUCCAGACUCCUACGGGAGGCAGCAGUGGGGAAUAUUGGACAAUGGGCGAAAGCCUGAUCCAGCCAUGCCGCGUGUGUGAAGAAGGUCUUCGGAUUGUAAAGCACUUUAAGUUGGGAGGAAGGGCAGUAAGUUAAUACCUUGCUGUUUUGACGUUACCAACAGAAUAAGCACCGGCUAACUUCGUG
rnacentral:rRNA from 1 species